GUCUAUGGCCAUAUCACUCUAAAUGUGCCCGAUCUCGUCUGAUCUCAGAAGUUAAACAGGGUUGGGUACUUGGACGGGAAAACUCUGAUACCAUUAUUCACA
ensembl:rRNA 5S_rRNA 5S ribosomal RNA